AUUGAACGCUGGCGGCAGGCCUAACACAUGCAAGUCGAAUGGUAACAGGAAACAUCUUGCUGUUUCGCUGACGAGUGGCGGACGGGUGAGUAAUGUCUGGGAAACUGCCUGAUGGAGGGGGAUAACUACUGGAAACGGUAGCUAAUACCGCAUAACGUCGCAAGACCAAAGAGGGGGACCUUCGGGCCUCUUGCCAUCAGAUGUGCCCAGAUGGGAUUAGCUAGUAGGUGGGGUAACGGCUCACCUAGGCGGCGAUCCCUAGCUGGUCUGAGAGGAUGACCAGCCACACUGGAACUGAGACACGGUCCAGACUCCUACGGGAGGCAGCAGUGGGGAAUAUUGCACAAUGGGCGCAAGCCUGAUGCAGCCAUGCCGCGUGUAUGAAGAAGGCCUUCGGGUUGUAAAGUACUUUCAGCGGGGAGGAAGGGAGUAAAGUUAAUACCUUUGCUCAUUGACGUUACCCGCAGAAGAAGCACCGGCUAACUCCGUG
rnacentral:rRNA from 1 species